rnacentral:rRNA from 1 species
UGGGGAAUCUUGCACAAUGGGGGCAACCCUGAUGCAGCGACGCCGCGUGAGCGAUGAAGCCCUUCGGGGUGUAAAGCUCUUUCGGCUGGAACGAUAAUGACGGUACCAGCAGAAGAAGCUGCGGCUAACUACGUGCCAGCAGCCGCGGUAAUACGUAGGCAGCGAGCGUUGUUCGGAGUUACUGGGCGUAAAGAGUGCGUAGGCGGUUGGCUAAGUUUGGUGUGAAAUCUCCCGGCUCAACUGGGAGGGUGCGCCGAAAACUGGCUGGCUGGAGUGUGGGAGAGGCUAGCGGAAUUCCUGGUGUAGCGGUGAAAUGCGUAGAUAUCAGGAGGAACACCUGCGGUGUAGACGGCUGGCUGGACCACUACUGACGCUGAGGCACGAAAGCGUGGGGAGCAAACAG